rnacentral:lncRNA from 1 species
CGGCUGCGCGCCAAGCCGCGCUUCUCCCGCGCGCGAUGCCCGGAGAGGCUCGGCCAGCGGCGGGUCGGCGCCUUCCCAAGAAGAAACUGGGGCAGCAAGAAUGUGCUGGAAGAUUAGAAGCAGCUGAUGCAGAAGGAAGGAAAACUGAAAAGGAGGGGCCUCUGUGGACAAGUCGUCUCUCUCCAUUCCAGUCAGGCCAGUUGUCCAGCAGGCAUUUUGAAUAAUGCAUCAUCCUUGGCAUUAGAAAAUGGCUAGCAUCCUCAAGGACAGCAAUGAAAAACAGAAACAUGAGCCAAGGGAAGAUUCUAGAACCCAUGAACACAUAUGGGUGGGUUUGAAGUCAGCUGGAUGGACAUCCCUCAAGCCUCUGGGAUCCAGUCUCUACUGUGUGACUGGCGUUUAGUUACUAGGUUUUCAAAGGCAGAAUCAGCCUAUGGGAAAACUGGCCCAUCGUGUCCACAGGAAAUGUAUUAAGUAUAAUUGUUUUUUUCAGUAGAGCCACUAAAGGAUUAUCAGCAGACAAUUGGGAUGACUUUAACAGCUAAACAUUAAUAAGACUUCCUAAUUAGUAAAUUGUUUCUUCUAGUCCCUGAACAUAUUCCCCCUGCUCCCCCACCCCAUUUUUGUAAAUGCCAACAUUGCCCUUUUGGAUCAGAACUUUAUUAUAUCAUUCAAAGAAGGUUUGCUUCAGCCAUUUCUCGGCUACCAGGUAUCGGAUUUGUAAAAGAUCAUGGUUUUGACACAGCACAACUAACUUUGUGCAUUUAUGUUGGCUGGCGUGCAAAAGAUGUGCUUUACUGGGUUUUGGGAAAGUUGUGAUGGAUGCUGGCCCGAGGGAGGCAGGGAAAAUGUCGUGGACUUUGCCAUUAGUCACACCUGGAUUUAAAUUAUGCCUCUGUCACCAGCCACAUGACCCUAGGCACAUUGGAACACUCCAC